ACCCCAUAACAGGGUCUCCAACAGGCUGAAGGACGUCUGGACGUGCCAGGGGGCCGAGUGUUACUGUGAUGGAGAGAAGAGAGAGGAGAGUGGUGGAGAGAGAGACUGAGAAUGAUGCUCUCACUUAGAAUACAGUGAGAUACAGAGUGUGUGUGUGUGUGUGUGUGUGUGUGUGUGUUUGUGUGUGUGUGUGUGUGUGUGUGUGUGUGUUUGCUUGUGUGUGUGUGUGUGUGUGUGUGUGUGUGGUGUGUUUGCUUGUGUGCGAGGGAAACAGAAAGAGAGUCAUUUUGGAAGGAUUGAUACAUUGGUCGCUUUGGAGACGAGAAGAGGCGGGCAGACUCUAAAGGACAGCAUGUUCCAACUGCGCCCACUGCUGGCCAAAUAGUGUCACAUGUUCCUCCCAGCGUUGCCAUUGCCCUCCCUACCAGCAGGGCGGCGCCUCUCCCCUACAUUCCACACUUAAAAUGCCUAACGAUACAUGAGCUCAUAGAGCAACGUCUUCAUUUCUUCCAUUCUUGCUGUUAAAACAGUACUUUUGUGUGUUCGGUGUCUAUGUGAGAUUAUACUAUUGUCUGGUGCCUACUCCUCUGCUAUUGUAUAUCCAAGUUAACUUAAAAAGGCCUAGAGAAGUAGCGUGUUAUUUGCAACCUGAGAACAGAGAGCAGAGAGUGUGUGUGUGCAUGCUUGUGUGUGUGUGUGUGUGUAUGUGUGUGCGUCCGUGCGUGCGUGCGUGUGCGUGCAUAGCUGUGUGCUUCUAGUGAGCAUAAGGUCACUGUAUCUCCCUGCAUACGGAUGAGUUUGUCCAAUUUUGCUUUUCAUUUAGAGAUGCAUCAACACGCCGUCUCCCGUCUCGUCUAAGGGAGCAGUUAUAGUCUGUCUUAUCAUAUUCAUGUAUGUGUUGCUUCAUGUCUGUGCCUAACCAACAAACUCAGAUGGAUGACGAGUCUGAGUGCUAAUCUUGACUGAACCCAAUCCCCCUUAGAUAGCUUAUACACAGGCAAGUGAUGGAGCCCGUAGAUAGUGUUAGCUAUCACUGUUACCCUGCCCCUACAAACACACACAAACACACACACACACACACACACACACACACACACACACUGAAACAGCAAUGGUUUGGUAAAAUGUGAAAUGUCCCUCAGACAGCAGGCCCCCUCUCCACAUUAACAGACAUUUUUGACUGACACUUUUCAAAGGUGUGACAUGAUUACUAACGAAUCUCCAGGUGUGCACAGACACAGCCACUCUCACCCAUGUGGGUCAAGAAGCCUAAACAAGUCAUAUCUAUAGCCUGCCUUACAUCAGCCAAUCAGAUCCCACUCCACACCUUACAUCAGCCAAACAAAGCCCACUCCACGCCUUACAUCAGCCAAUCAAAUCCCACUCGACGCCUUAAAUCAGCCAAUCAAACCCCACUCCACGCUUACAUUAGCCAAUCAGACCUCACUCCACGCCUUACAUUAGCCAAUCAGACCCCACUCCACGCCUUACAUCAGCCAAUGCCUUACAUCAGCCAAUCAAAUCCCACUCCAUGCACACGUACUCCAUCUAUCAGCUUCUGUAAGGUUAAGUAGCAUUUACAUUUCCAAAGGACAGCUGUACACUAUUUCAUAUAAGAAGCUACGAAUUGUUAUAACGUGCUCAUACAGUUAAAAGCUCAUACAUUAUCUGUUUAUCAUGUAGCUGAAAUAAUGGCAAUUUCAAUCUGUCACCACAAUUGCACGACACAGUCCAGAUCACCAUGCUCAUACACAGACACACACACAGACACACAUUCACUCACUUUCUUUCUCCCGACUGUUCUCACAGCAGCAACCAGAGAACAUUAGCUGUCUUAAGUUUGUUUAUGUGUAUAAUCAUAUUUGGCAAGUUUGUUUAUGUGUAUGAUCAAAUUUGGCAAGUUUGUUUAUGUGUAUGAUCAUAUUUGGCAAGUUUGUUUAUGUGUAUGAUCAUAUUUGGCAAGUUUGUUUAUGUCAUAUUUGGCAAGUUUGUUUAUGUGUAUGAUCAAAUUUGGCAAGUUUGUUUAUGUGUAUGAUCAAAUUUGGCAAAGGGGGAUGAGGAUGUUGAGAACACAAGGAUCCAGUGAUCAUAGCUUAUAAUGUUAGCACUGCACUAGACCUGUGUUCCAAUUUGCAUACUUCUGUACUUACAAUAUCUAAUAUUAAUAUUGUGAAUGCACUUGUGCACUCAUAUGAGGUGUUGUAAGCACAGAGUUAUGCAAACUGGAACACAGCCUAGGACAGGUCAGUGCUAGCUAUAAAUAGGUACCAGCGCUAGCUCACUGUGUGUUAGCAGGAGCUAGGACAAGUCAGUGCUAGCUAUGAAUAGGUACCAGCGCUAGCUCACUGUGUGUUAGCAGGAGCUAGCUCACAUGAGGAAGUACAGUUUUCUGCUAAAAGACAGGCUACAGGAAUGAGAUUCAGACAGCAUGGGAGGCUUACAACAAAUAAAUGCAGCCCCCUUCUCAUUUUUUAGUAAUUCCUUUCUGUUCAUAUGCAGGAAUGCAGUAUUUUGGAUAGGAAAAUAAUUGCAUUGCAACUACAUUGUACUGCAUUUAACUGCAGAUAGGCAGGAUUUUGGACAUGAAACAGCGUUAUACUUCAGAAAAAAAGCAGUACAAAAGUUUUUUUGUCAGAAACUGCAGGGUUUUUUGUAAGGGGAGCAGACAGGGCUUACAGGUUCUAGUGUCGGAGCCUGAGAUAAUCCUUACAGUAGCCAAGACCCACCCAGAGGCCCUUUGCAUGUUUCAGUAGGAUGGGUGGGUUCCCAACAGCAGUUAGCCGCUUGCAGUGCUUAUUGGCUCUUCAUCCUGCUCUCCUUAUGUCUGAACUGGGGUGCAGUGAGCGCAGCGAGUUUCCUAUGAUGUCUCAUAGAGUUGGUAACAGUAUUUGCACUUGAAAAUUGUUAUUGCUCAUGUAUAAUGUCUGGAUUUUGUAUUGUCUUUUAAAAAUGAAUGGAAUUGGUGUUCUUAAA